AGUGAACGCUGGCGGUAGGCCUAACACAUGCAAGUCGAACGGCAGCACAGUAAGAGCUUGCUCUUACGGGUGGCGAGUGGCGGACGGGUGAGGAAUACAUCGGAAUCUACUUUUUCGUGGGGGAUAACGUAGGGAAACUUACGCUAAUACCGCAUACGACCUACGGGUGAAAGCAGGGGAUCUUCGGACCUUGCGCGAUUGAAUGAGCCGAUGUCGGAUUAGCUAGUUGGCGGGGUAAAGGCCCACCAAGGCGACGAUCCGUAGCUGGUCUGAGAGGAUGAUCAGCCACACUGGAACUGAGACACGGUCCAGACUCCUACGGGAGGCAGCAGUGGGGAAUAUUGGACAAUGGGCGCAAGCCUGAUCCAGCCAUGCCGCGUGCGUGAAGAAGGCCUUCGGGUUGUAAAGCCCUUUUGUUGGGAAAGAAAAGCAGUAGGUUAAUACCCCGCUGUGAUGACGGUACCGAAAGAAUAAGCACCGGCUAACUUCGUG
rnacentral:rRNA from 1 species